rnacentral:rRNA from 1 species
GAGACAGCAGCCGCCGCGGUAAUACAGAGGGUGCGAGCGUUAAUCGGAUUUACUGGGCGUAAAGCGUGCGUAGGCGGCUUCUUAAGUCGGAUGUGAAAUCCCUGAGCUUAACUUAGGAAUUGCAUUCGAUACUGGGAAGCUAGAGUAUGGGAGAGGAUGGUAGAAUUCCAGGUGUAGCGGUGAAAUGCGUAGAGAUCUGGAGGAAUACCGAUGGCGAAGGCAGCCAUCUGGCCUAAUACUGACGCUGAGGUACGAAAGCAUGGGGAGCAAACAGGAUUAGAUACCCCUGUAGUCCCUGUCUCUUAUAC